rnacentral:rRNA from 1 species
CUACGUGCGGCUGCAGUGGGGAAUAUUGGACAAUGGGCGCAAGCCUGAUCCAGCAAUGCCGCGUGAGUGAAGACGGCCUUAGGGUUGUAAAACUCUUUCGCUAGGGAAGAUAAUGACUGUACCUAGUAAAGAAGUCCCGGCUAACUCCGUGCCAGCAGCCGCGGUAAUACGGAGGGGACUAGCGUUGUUCGGAAUUACUGGGCGUAAAGAGUGCGUAGGCGGACUGACAAGGUAGGGGUGAAAUCCCAGGGCUCAACCCUGGAACUGCCUUUAAAACUGUCAGUCUAGAGACCGGAAGAGGUUAGGGGAAUACCUAGUGUAGAGGUGAAAUUCGUAGAUAUUAGGUGGAACACCAGUGGCGAAGGCGCCUAACUGGUCCGGUACUGACGCUGAGGAACGAAAGCGUGGGGAGCAAACAGGAUUAGAUACCCGCGUAGUC